GAUGAACGCUGGCGGCGUGCCUAAUACAUGCAAGUCGAGCGAACAGACGAGGAGCUUGCUCCUCUGACGUUAGCGGCGGACGGGUGAGUAACACGUGGAUAACCUACCUAUAAGACUGGGAUAACUUCGGGAAACCGGAGCUAAUACCGGAUAAUAUAUUGAACCGCAUGGUUCAAUAGUGAAAGACGGUUUUGCUGUCACUUAUAGAUGGAUCCGCGCCGCAUUAGCUAGUUGGUAAGGUAACGGCUUACCAAGGCAACGAUGCGUAGCCGACCUGAGAGGGUGAUCGGCCACACUGGAACUGAGACACGGUCCAGACUCCUACGGGAGGCAGCAGUAGGGAAUCUUGCGCAAUGGGCGAAAGCCUGACGGAGCAACGCCGCGUGAGUGAUGAAGGUCUUCGGAUCGUAAAACUCUGUUAUUAGGGAAGAACAAAUGUGUAAGUAACUAUGCACGUCUUGACGGUACCUAAUCAGAAAGCCACGGCUAACUACGU
rnacentral:rRNA from 1 species